CGACUUAUAUUCUGUAGCAAGGUUAACCGUAUAGGGGAGCCGGAGGGAAACCGAGUCUUAAUUGGGCGUUAAGUUGCAGGGUAUAGACCCGAAACCCGGUGAUCUAGCCAUGGGCAGGUUGAAGGUUGGGUAACACUAACUGGAGGACCGAACCGACUAAUGUUGAAAAAUUAGCGGAUGACCUGUGGCUGGGGGUGAAAGGCCAAUCAAACCGGGAGAUAGCUGGUUCUCCCCGAAAGCUAUUUAGGUAGCGCCUCGUGAAUUCAUCUCCGGGGGUAGAGCACUGUUUCGGCUAGGGGGCCAUCCCGGCUUACCAACCCGAUGCAAACUGCGAAUACCGGAGAAUGUUAUCACGGGAGACACACGGCGGGUGCUAACGUCCGUCGUGAAGAGGGAAACAACCCAGACCGCCAGCUAAGGUCCCAAAGUCAUGGUUAAGUGGGAAACGAUGUGGGAAGGCCCAGACAGCCAGGAUGUUGGCUUAGAAGCAGCCAUCAUUUAAAGAAAGCGUAAUAGCUCACUGGUCGAGUCGGCCUGCGCGGAAGAUGUAACGGGGCUAAACCAUGCACCGAAGCUGCGGCAGCGAACGUAUCACCCAAGACAACUUUACGGAGUUGACGAUUGACGGAGCGAAGCGACGUCAAAGCGUUCAUUAAAGUCGAGUUGGCUUAGGGAUACGUUCGUUGGGUAGGGGAGCGUUCUGUAAGCCUGUGAAGGUGUGUCGUGAGGCAUGCUGGAGGUAUCAGAAGUGCGAAUGCUGACAUAAGUAACGAUAAAGCGGGUGAAAAGCCCGCUCGCCGGAAGACCAAGGGUUCCUGUCCAACGUUAAUCGGGGCAGGGUGAGUCGACCCCUAAGGCGAGGCCGAAAGGCGUAGUCGAUGGGAAACGGGUUAAUAUUCCCGUACUUGGUGUUACUGCGAAGGGGGGACGGAGAAGGCUAUGUUGGCCGGGCGACGGUUGUCCCGGUUUAAGCGUGUAGGUGUGUGUUCCAGGUAAAUCCGGUUCACUUUAACACUGAGGCGUGACGACGAGGCACUACGGUGCUGAAGCAACAAAUGCCCUGCUUCCAGGAAAAGCCUCUAAGCAUCAGGUAACACGAAAUCGUACCCCAAACCGACACAGGUGGUCAGGUAGAGAAUACCAAGGCGCUUGAGAGAACUCGGGUGAAGGAACUAGGCAAAAUGGUGCCGUAACUUCGGGAGAAGGCACGCUGACACGUAGGUGAAGUGAUUUACUCAUGGAGCUGAAGUCAGUCGAAGAUACCAGCUGGCUGCAACUGUUUAUUAAAAACACAGCACUGUGCAAACACGAAAGUGGACGUAUACGGUGUGACGCCUGCCCGGUGCCGGAAGGUUAAUUGAUGGGGUCAGCGCAAGCGAAGCUCCUGAUCGAAGCCCCGGUAAACGGCGGCCGUAACUAUAACGGUCCUAAGGUAGCGAAAUUCCUUGUCGGGUAAGUUCCGACCUGCACGAAUGGCGUAAUGAUGGCCAGGCUGUCUCCACCCGAGACUCAGUGAAAUUGAACUCGCUGUGAAGAUGCAGUGUACCCGCGGCAAGACGGAAAGACCCCGUGAACCUUUACUAUAGCUUGACACUGAACAUUGAGCCUUGAUGUGUAGGAUAGGUGGGAGGCUUUGAAGUGUGGACGCCAGUCUGCAUGGAGCCGACCUUGAAAUACCACCCUUUAAUGUUUGAUGUUCUAACGUGGACCCGUAAUCCGGGUUGCGGACAGUGUCUGGUGGGUAGUUUGACUGGGGCGGUCUCCUCCUAAAGAGUAACGGAGGAGCACGAAGGUUGGCUAAUCCUGGUCGGACAUCAGGAGGUUAGUGCAAUGGCAUAAGCCAGCUUGACUGCGAGCGUGACGGCGCGAGCAGGUGCGAAAGCAGGUCAUAGUGAUCCGGUGGUUCUGAAUGGAAGGGCCAUCGCUCAACGGAUAAAAGGUACUCCGGGGAUAACAGGCUGAUACCGCCCAAGAGUUCAUAUCGACGGCGGUGUUUGGCACCUCGAUGUCGGCUCAUCACAUCCUGGGGCUGAAGUAGGUCCCAAGGGUAUGGCUGUUCGCCAUUUAAAGUGGUACGCGAGCUGGGUUUAGAACGUCGUGAGACAGUUCGGUCCCUAUCUGCCGUGGGCGCUGGAGAACUGAGGGGGGCUGCUCCUAGUACGAGAGGACCGGAGUGGACGCAUCACUGGUGUUCGGGUUGUCAUGCCAAUGGCACUGCCCGGUAGCUAAAUGCGGAAGAGAUAAGUGCUGAAAGCAUCUAAGCACGAAACUUGCCCCGAGAUGAGUUCUCCCUGAGACUUAGAGUCUCCUGAAGGAACGUUGAAGACGACGACGUUGAUAGGCCGGGUGUGUAAGCGCAGCGAUGCGUUGAGCUAACCGGUACUAAUGAACCGUGAGGCUUAACCUUACA
rnacentral:rRNA from 1 species